AACGAACGCUGGCGGUAUGCUUAACACAUGCAAGUCGAACGGGCUUCAGCCUUCGGGCGAAAAGUUAGUGGCAAACGGGUGAGUAAUACAGAGGAAUCUACCUAGCAGUACGGAAUAACCCUGGGAAACCAGAGCUAAUACCGUAUAUUACCGAUUUAUCGGGAAAGAUUUAUCGCUGUUAGAUGAGCCUCUGCCGGAUUAGCUUGUUGGUAGGGUAAUGGCCUACCAAGGCGAUGAUCCGUAGCUGGUCUGAGAGGAUGAUCAGCCACACUGGAACUGAGACACGGUCCAGACUCCUACGGGAGGCAGCAGUGGGGAAUAUUGGACAAUGGGCGCAAGCCUGAUCCAGCAAUACCGCGUGAGUGAUGACGGCUUUCGGGUUGUAAAACUCUUUUAGUAGGGAAGAUAAUGACGGUACCUACAGAAAAAGCACCGGCAAACUUCGUGCCAGCAGCCGCGGUAAUACGAGGGGUGCUAGCGUUGUUCGGAAUCACUGGGCGUAAAGGGUACGUAGGCGGUUGGACAAGUCGAUUGUGAAAGCCCCAGGCUCAACCUGGGAACUGCAGUCGAAACUGUUUAACUAGAGUAUGUUCGGGGACAGUGGAAUUCCUAGUGUAGGGGUGAAAUCCGUAGAUAUUAGGAGGAAUACCGGUGGCGAAAGCGACUGUCUAGGCCAUUACUGACGCUGAGGUACGAAAGCGUGGGGAGCAAACAGGAUUAGAUACCCUGGUAGUCCACGCAGUAAACGAUGAGUGCUAGUUGUCGGGGAUCUAGAUCUCGGUGGUGAAGCUAACGCGUUAAGCACUCCGCCUGGGGACUACGGCCGCAAGGCUAAAACUCAAAGGAAUUGACGGGGACCCGGCACAAGCAGUGGAGCAUGUGGUUUAAUUAGAUGCUACGCGAAAAACCUUACCAACCCUUGUAUCUAGUAGACGGGUUAAGAGAUUAGCCUUCGGUUCGCCGCAGCUAAGACAGGGGUUGCAUGGCUGUCGUCAGCUCGUGUCGUGAGAUGUUAGGUUAAGUCGUUCAACGAGCGCAACCCUCAUCCUUAUUUGCCAUAGGGUUAUGCCGGGAACUAUAAGGAAACUGCCAGCGAUAAGCUGGAGGAAGGUGGGGACGAUGUCAAGUCAUCAUGGCCCUUAUGGGUUGGGCUACACACAUGCUACAAUGGUGAUUACAGUGAGACGCUAAGGAGCAAUCUGGAGCAAAUCCUCAAAAGUCAUAUCAGUUCGGAUUGAGGGCUGCAACUCGCCCUCAUGAAGUAGGAAUUGCUAGUAAUAGAAAAUCAGCACGUUACGGUGAAUACGUUCUCGGGUCU
rnacentral:rRNA from 1 species